rnacentral:rRNA from 1 species
UGUUCAUAUUGGGUAGGGGAGCGUUCUGUAAGCCGUUGAAGGUGCAUUGUAAAGUGUGCUGGAGGUAUCAGAAGUGCGAAUGCUGACAUGAGUAACGAUAAAGGGAGUGAAAAACUCCCUCGCCGGAAGAUCAAGGGUUCCUGUCCAACGUUAAUCGGGGCAGGGUAAGUCGACCCCUAAGGCGAGGCCGAAAGGCGUAGUCGAUGGGAAACGGGUUAAUAUUCCCGUACUUCUUAUAAUUGCGAUGGAGGGACGGAGAAGGCUAGGUGAGCCUGGCGACGGUUGUCCAGGUCCAAGUAUGUAGGCUGAUGGUUUAGGCAAAUCCGGACCAUCUUAAGGCUGAGAUACGAUGUCGAGCUACUACGGUAGUGAAGUCAUUGAUGCCAUGCUUCCGGGAAAAGCUUCUAAGCUUCAGAUUAUAAGAAAUCGUACCCCAAACCGACACAGGUGAUCAGGUAGAGAAUACCAAGGCGCUUGAGAGAACUCGGGUGAAGGAACUAGGCAAAAUGGUACCGUAACUUCGGGAGAAGGUACGCUCCUAGCGGUGAUGAGACUUGCUCUCUAAGCUGCCGGGAGUCGCAGAUACCAGGUGGCUGCAACUGUUUAUUAAAAACACAGCACUGUGCAAAAUCGAAAGAUGACGUAUACGGUGUGACGCCUGCCCGGUGCCGGAAGGUUAAUUGAUGGGGUUAGACUUCGGUCGAAGCUCUUGAUCGAAGCCCCGGUAAACGGCGGCCGUAACUAUAACGGUCCUAAGGUAGCGAAAUUCCUUGUCGGGUAAGUUCCGACCUGCACGAAUGGCGUAAUGAUGGCCACGCUGUCUCCACCCGAGACUCAGUGAAAUUGAAAUCGCAGUGAAGAUGCUGUGUACCCGCGGCUAGACGGAAAGACCCCGUGAACCUUUACUAUAGCUUGGCACUGAACAUUGACCCUACAUGUGUAGGAUAGGUGGGAGACGUUGAAGCAACCGCGCCAGUGGUUGUGGAGUCAAUCUUGAAAUACCACCCUUGUAUGCUUGAUGUUCUAACGUUGGCCCCUUAUCGGGGUUACGGACAGUGCCUGGUGGGUAGUUUGACUGGGGCGGUCUCCUCCCAAAGAGUAACGGAGGAGCACGAAGGUGGGCUAAUCACGGUCGGACAUCGUGAGGUUAGUGCAAUGGCAUAAGCCCGCUUGACUGCGAGAAUGACAAUUCGAGCAGGUGCGAAAGCAGGUCAUAGUGAUCCGGUGGUUCUGAAUGGAAGGGCCAUCGCUCAACGGAUAAAAGGUACUCCGGGGAUAACAGGCUGAUACCGCCCAAGAGUUCAUAUCGACGGCGGUGUUUGGCACCUCGAUGUCGGCUCAUCACAUCCUGGGGCUGAAGUCGGUCCCAAGGGUAUGGCUGUUCGCCAUUUAAAGUGGUACGCGAGCUGGGUUUAGAACGUCGUGAGACAGUUCGGUCCCUAUCUGCCGUGGGCGUUGGAUGAUUGAGAGGGGCUGCUCCUAGUACGAGAGGACCGGAGUGGACGAACCGCUGGUGUUCGGGUUGUAUCGCCAGAUGCAUUGCCCGGUAGCUAAGUUCGGAAUCGAUAACCGCUGAAAGCAUCUAAGCGGGAAGCGAGCCUCAAGAUGAGUCAUCCCUAGACCUUUAAGGUCUCUAAAGGGUUGUUGAAGACUACAACGUUGAUAGGUCAGGUGUGUAAGUGCUGCGAGGCAUUGAGCUAACUGAUACUAAUUGCCCGUGAGGCUUAACCAUACAACACCCAAGGGGUUU